GACAGAGGGUGCAAACGUUGUUCGGAAUUACUGGGCGUAAAGCGCGUGUAGGCGGCCCUGCAAGUCGGGUGUGAAAUCCCACGGCUCAACCGUGGAAGUGCACUCGAAACUGCAGGGCUAGAGUCCUGGAGAGGAAGGUGGAAUGCUUGGUGUAGAGGUGAAAUUCGUAGAUAUCGAGCGGAACACCGGUGGCGAAGGCGGCCUUCUGGACAGUGACUGACGCUGAGACGCGAAAGCGUGGGGAGCAAACAGG
rnacentral:rRNA from 1 species